AUACAUCACUCUAAACUGUGUUAAAUAUAUAGACAUGAAAGAAGGGGGAAGAGAUUAAUUUUUGGAGGAAAAAAAGAAAUUUUAAAUAGUUUGCCCAUGGCUCUAUGAAUUCUGUAAAUAAUAUAUUCAACAUUAUUUACAUCUCUCAACUGCAACUCACAAAAGAGUUGGAAUGUUUUUUCAUGGACUAAGAGAACUGGGUGUAAGUUAUGGAGUCACCACAGACAAUCAGUCCAUCCAGGUUCUAAGAACAUUUAUUUCUAGCGUUUGAAUUACUUGUUCUCCUUGGAAGAAGCAGAGGAUGAACAUCUUUAGCAAUUUGUUUUCUGUUUAUCU
rnacentral:lncRNA from 1 species